UUGCGGUUAAAAAGUUCGUAGUUGGACAUCUGUCGAAGGCGAGGGGUCCAUCCUUUGGGUGUGCAUCUUUCUCGGCUUGGGCAUCAUCUUGAAAAACACUGCUGCAAUUGACUUUGUGGCGCGGCAUUCAGGACGUUUACUUUGAGGAAAUUAGAGUGCUCCAAGCAGGCACAGGCCAACAUACACUAGCAUGGAAUAAUAAAAAUGAACCUCGGAUCUAUUUUGUUGGUUUCUAGGGCUAAGGUUUUGACCAACAGGGACAGCUGGGGGCAUUCGUACUUAACUGUCAGAGGUGAAAUUCUUGGAUUUGUUAAAGACGGCCUACUGCGAAAGCAUUUGCCAAAUAUGUUUUCAUUGAUCAAGAACGAAAGUUAGGGGAUCGAAGACGAUCAGAUACCGUCCUAGUCUUAACCAUAAACAAUGCCGACUAGAAAUCGGAGGUCGUUAAUUGGACGACUCCUUCAGCACCUUUGGAGAAAUCAAAGUUUUUGGGUUCCGGGGGGAGUAUGGUCGCAAGGCUGAAACUUAAAGGAAUUGACGGAAGGGCACCACCAGGAGUGGAGCCUGCGGCUUAAUUUGACUCAACACGGGGAAACUUACCAGGUCCAGACAUAGCCAGGAUUGACAGAUUGACAGCUCUUUCUUGAUUCUAU
rnacentral:rRNA from 1 species